AUAAAGAGGCAAUGGUGGCGCCGUGAAUCGAGUCAGGACCGGAAGGUAGCAGCUAUAAGCGGUAAAACCAUGUGCCUUUUAUUUUG
rnacentral:SRP_RNA from 1 species